UACGGAGGAUCCAAGCGUUAUCCGGAAUCAUUGGGUUUAAAGGGUCCGUAGGCGGUUUGGUAAGUCAGUGGUGAAAGCCCAUCGCUCAACGGUGGAACGGCCAUUGAUACUGCCAGACUUGAAUUAUUAGGAAGUAACUAGAAUAUGUAGUGUAGCGGUGAAAUGCUUAGAGAUUACAUGGAAUACCAAUUGCGAAGGCAGGUUACUACUAAUGGAUUGACGCUGAUGGACGAAAGCGUGGGGAUCGAACAGG
rnacentral:rRNA from 1 species